AUUGAACGCUGGCGGCAGGCCUAACACAUGCAAGUCGAACGGAUUGCGGACGGGUGAGUUAUUUCUGGGGAACUGCCUGAUUGAUGGGGAUUACUACUGUAAACGGUAGCUAAUACCGCCUACCAUCUGAUGUGGCCAUAUGGGAUUAGCUAGUUGGUGGGGUAAAGGCUCACCCAGGCGACGAUCCCUAGCUGGUCUGAGAGGAUGACCAGCCACACUGGGACUGAGACACGGUCCAGACUCCUACGGGAGGCAGCAGUGGGGAAUAUUGGACAAUGGGCGCAAGCCUGAUGCAGCCAUGCCGCGUGUAUGAAGAAGGCCUUCGGGUUGUAAAGUACUUUCAGCGGGGAAGCGGUACCCAAAGAAGAAGCACCGGCUAACUCCGUGCCAGCCGCCGCGGUAAUAC
rnacentral:rRNA from 1 species